rnacentral:rRNA from 1 species
UACGUAGGGUGCGAGCGUUAAUCGGAAUUACUGGGCGUAAAGCGUGCGCAGGCGGUUCGUUGUGUCUGAUGUGAAAGCCCCGGGCUUAACCUGGGAAUGGCAUUGGAAACUGGCGAGCUGGAGUGUGGCAGAGGGGGGUGGAAUUCCGCGUGUAGCAGUGAAAUGCGUAGAGAUGCGGAGGAACACCGAUGGCGAAGGCAGCCCCCUGGGCCAACACUGACGCUCAGACACGACAGCAUGGGGAGCGAACGGG